UACGAAGGGUGCAAGCGUUACUCGGAAUCACUGGGCGUAAAGCGUGCGUAGGCGGUUGAUUAAGUCUGCUGUGAAAGUCGGGGGCUCAACCCUCGGAUGCCGGUGGAUACUGUCGGGCUUGAGUACGGAAGAGGCGAGUGGAAUUCCUGGUGUAGCGGUGAAAUGCGCAGAUAUCAGGAGGAACACCAAUUGCGAAGGCAGCUCGCUGGGACGUUACUGACGCUGAGACGCGAAAGCGUGGGGAGCAAACAGG
rnacentral:rRNA from 1 species